CAUUUGUUAUUUUAAUAUAAGCAUGUGGAGUUCCAGCAGCAUUGCCCUAAAGCAGAUUUCAACAGAGUCUACUUGUUUGUUAAAAUAGAUCUGUUUUCAAACAUUUACCCAGCUCAAUUAAUUGUGUCAACUGUAUUCAUAGUCAAAUUGGCUAUGUUGAUGAUGCAGGUGUUGAUUCUAGACUGGAUUAGCGUGAUGCGUUCUGUUUAGGACCACUUAUGAAAGGUCUGAGGAAAUUCAGCUGGUCCAGAAUGCACCAGCAAGAAUGUUGGUGGGUGCUUUCAGGGAGGACCAUAUUCUAGCAGUGCUGCAAGGGCCACAGUGGCUGCAAGUUUGUUUCCAAGCACACCUCAGUGUCGUUGAUGAUCUUUAAAACCCUAAAGGCUUAAAUCUAGGAUGCUUUAGGAAUCACCGUCUCCCACCUAAGCCUUCCCAUGUCCUCAGAUAUGAUGGAGAAGCCUUUCUCUGUAUCGCAGCUGUGGUAGAAGCAAGUUUGGUUGGAACAUGAAAAAGGAUCUUCUCAGUGACCGCAUCAGUAAUUGGUCAUCUGAAGUUUCGAAUAAAGUACAUCCCAUCCCAUA